CCUACGUAGCUUAAGUAAAGCAUAACAUUGAAGAUGUUAAGACGGAACCCAUUCACCAUUCCCGUA
rnacentral:tRNA from 1 species